GUGUGACGUAUAUAAGACAAUCCCCUUCACACUUGUUUAUUUCUUUCCUUUUUUUCUCUCUCUUCGCUCCUAUCUAUCUCUCGUUCUCCCAACUACUUCUUCCUUUGGUUGCUCUAUGUUCUUCACCCCUACCAUCUAAACCACCGCAUUCUUCAAUUUUCCGGUUGAACUUCAACCGAAAAAUUCAAACAUUCAAACACAUCAUCUCCAAAACCUUCAACCUAGCCCAGAAACCCUCACAUCCCCACGAACCCUAACCCUAAUAUUAUGAACCCUAACACUACCAUUUUCCAGAUUUCACCUUCCCUCACCCAGAUUCACAUUAAACAGUGGCCAAUCCAUAGAUCGGCCUUCCCUAAACCCCAAUCAAACCUCUAAAUCCCAAAAUCAACUCAAUAAUUUAUUACCCUAACCCUAAACCCCUUUUUCGAUUUAUCCCCAAAGUCAAACCAUAAACAAAAUUAUUGCAAACAAACAAGCAUACAAAUUCAAUAUAUGUCAGGUUUACUACGGAGCCAAAACAGGGACCAGCCUAUGGAAUGGAGAAGUAUUCCAGUCAAUCGAGGUAAAUGAUCCUUUUUUCUGUCUCUUUACGUUUUAGCCUUUUCUUCUCCUUCUCUUUUUUGACUGCUUCUUUUUCGUUUUAUGCGAGAUGCUAUUGAACUGUGGCUAGCUCAUAAGAAUUAGGGUUUCAAUGAGAAACCCUAAUCUUUGUUUGAAUUAGAGCUUUGAUGGAUGGUUUGGAAAUUGCAGAAGAAUCCGCUUCUAGGUUUUUUUUCGUCUCCUUUCUGUUUUAGAUUUAGGUUAUUUAUAGGUUACAAUAUUUUGAUUAGAUUGAUUCAAUUAGGAAGUUUUGUACUAGGUUCAAUCAGAUUUCAUUUAGUUUAGAAAUAGAUUAGGAUUUUUGAAUUGUAACUGAAAUUAUAAUGUAUUUGAUCCGAUAUUUGAUUUGUAAUACGUGAUUUUAUGAAAUUGAAAACUUUGGAUUGAGUUGAAAAUUGCAUGUUACUAUUUUGAUUAUGUGAAUGAAACCAUGGGGGAUUGAAGAAGAUGAUGAAUAGGGUCCGGGUCAGGCUUAAUCCAGCCCAAUGAUGGGUUUGGGUUGUGCCUCUCUCUCUCUCUCACAUAUAUCAUAAUGUAAAUAUAAGAAUGAUUAAUUAUUUUUUAUCAUAAUAAAAAAUUAUUAACUUAAUAUAAAUUGUAUUUAAGACAAUUUGUAUAGAAAAUUGAUAUAGAUUAAUAUUCC
rnacentral:lncRNA from 1 species